UUCGGUGGUUAUGGCGAGGGGGAAACACCCGGUCCCAUCCCGAACCCGGUAGUUAAGCCCCUCAGCGCCGAUGGUACUGCAUGGGAGACUGUGUGGGAGAGUAGGACGCCGCCGGAC
rnacentral:rRNA from 2 species